GAUGACAGAUUGAGAGUUCUUUCUUGAUUCUGUGGGUGGUGGUGCAUGGCCGUUCUUAGUUGGUGGAGCGAUUUGUCUGGUUAAUUCCGAUAACGAACGAGACUCUGGCAUGUUAAAUAGUCACGGGAGUAAUUUUUACUCGCUUUGAUGACUUCUUAGAGGGACAAGUGAUUUUAAUCACACGAGAUUGAGCAAUAACAGGUCUGUGAUGCCCUUAGAUGUUCGGGGCCGCACGCGCGCUACAAUGAGUCGAUCAACGAGCGUACUUUUAUUCCAAGCCCGAAAGGGCGAGGUAAUCCGUUGAACCCGACUCGUGCUAGGGAUAGGGAAUUGUAAUUGUUUCCCUUGAACGAGGAAUUCCCAGUAAGCGCAAGUCAUCAGCUUGCGUUGAUUACGUCCCUGCCCCU
rnacentral:rRNA from 1 species